CAUCACCUCCUGCCUCAAAGCUGUUAAGAGUGAGGUAGGCUUGGGUGUUGCCGGACAUAGGUGGGGAGCAUGUGUAUGUUGGGUACAUUUUUCCCGCUUUACAGCAGUCAGAGUCAUCCUCCUGGUUACAUUGUCCAGGAGGAGGUUUCUUUCCUCUAAUUCUGCCACUUGGACGACAUUACUGAGCUUCACUAACUAAGAACACUGUUAAGAGGAGAAUGACUAGAAUAGACCCUUUGGAGGAAAAGCUCUUCAUUUUCUCUCUACCUCUAUCUGUCGCUCUAGUUGUGGUGUUGUCCGUGUGAGAUGAUCGAUGCAUAAAUGCAUUCUAGGGUGUCUAUUUAUAUAUCAAUUACCCACACAAAUUUCCUUCUGAUUUUGUAGAAUGACAAAACUGCAUUCUCCUAACUAAAGAGAGCAGAUUAAGUUCUACGCCAACUUAGGUUGGACAGCAAAUAACAAUUAAAACUGCAGCAUAUACCCAACACACUAGUGUAUCCAAGUCUUAUCUUACUAUGUAUACCCAACACACUAUUGUAUCCAACUAAGGGUCCAAGUCUUAUCUUACUAAUUUACAAUGUAUAUCCAUACCUCUGGUUCUUUUCAGUUUUCAGUGCUGAACAAUCCUUACCUGUAGUCACCUUAUCAUGUAAACAUCCACAUCAACAUUUUUUCUACUAGCAAUCUCGACAAAAACAAAAGAAUAGUCAGUCCAGGUCCAAGAGCAUGUUGCUAAUCCUUUAGCUGAUAUAUCCUUGGAUCCUUGUGGAAGUCAUAGACUUCUUAUUUCUCAUUAUUGCACGUAAGAUUGAAUAUAACUGAUCUCGAAUGCUAGUUAAGAUUCUAAAUUACUUCAAGUUGAAUGCAGAGGCCGUAUAUGUAGCAUCCCCCCAUGGCCACUUUUUACCCUGUAAAGUUGUGAUCCACUGACCAGCAGAACAACAAGAAGAGAAUUUUCUAAUACGAAAAUUAUGAUGACAAAACUUUAAAAUAAUAGACAUUUCAUAUGUUUUAUACACAUUUUAGUUGGAAGCAGCCGUAACAGAAUUCUCAGAAAGGUUGUUUUGUCUCUUUUGCUAGCAGAUUCAGAAUCGUGAAAAUGUCAUGUUCAUUGGUUCUGAUUUACAGAGAGUCUAAUGAUGUAAAAUUUCAUCCUAUGGGGAUUGGGGAGAGAAGGUAUACCUUAAUGUUCAAGAAUUAGUAUAGCUAUCAGAUUUCCAAAACAUAACUAUCAUGCGAGUUGGACUUCAAUAGGCUCCUGCCUUUGCUUCUCAAAAAUUUUAGUUAGAGACCAAUCUUAAGAUUCCAAAGGAUCUUUGGAGUAAUCUACCAUUAUUAAUGAAUCUUUAGUACAUCAGUGUCUCUUGCAUUAAGGAAUCUUCUAGUAUUAAUCAACAAUGUAAAACUUACACAGCUGCAGUCUAGAACCUUCAGCAAGUACAAAAAUGGUUCUUUGUAUAUGGUGAUAUAAUGAGCUGUAUGCAGACAAUCAGAUUGUACGUAUAUGAAAUGUUACUGCACAAUUUGGUGCUAUACUUAUCAGCAAUAUUACGAAGUGGUAUCUUCAAAGGACUGUAUGAUCAUUUUAGAGAAAAACAAGUCAAUUUGAUAUUAAGAACCAGCUAGCUAGCUGUUUCAUGAUCUCUAUAUAUAGGCUACUUAGGAUUAAACUUCUUCAAACCAACCAAAACCUAAAAACCAAGAGUACAAAGAAGAUGAGCUACAACCUUUAUUCUUCAGGUGCUUUUCUCUUCAUCUCCAUCAUUCUUGUAUCAAACUGGUUAAGCAUUGAAGCUGAAACCUGCAAUCCAAGUGGAAAAGUAGUAGGUAAAAAGCCUCCUAAAAAACAAUGUAACCCUGAGAAUCAGUCUGAAUGCUGCAAAAAAGGCAAGCUCUACCCCAUUUACAAGUGCUCGCCUCCAGUGUCCCAUCACACAAAAGCAACCUUGACGAUCAACAGCUUCGAGAAAGGUGGUGAUGGUGGUGCACCUUCAGAAUGUGACGGUAAAUUUCAUUCAGAUAACAACCCGGUGGUGGCAUUGUCCACAGGAUGGUUCAACAAUAGGAAGAGGUGCUCCCACUAUAUUACCAUACAUGGUAAUGGAAGGAGUGUGAAAGCCAAGGUUGUCGAUGAGUGUGACUCCACAAUGGGUUGUGAUCCUGAUCACGAUUACCAGCCUCCAUGCCCUCACAACAUCGUUGAUGCCUCUAAAGCUGUUUGGAAGGCCUUGGGAGUUAAGGAAAGCGACAGCCGCUGGGGUGAAAUGCCUAUAUUCUGGUCAGAUGUCUGAUUGAGUGACCGCCUCUAUAUUGUGAUACAAAUAAGAGUUGAGAUAAAUGUUACUAGAGUAACAUAAAAUUGCAAUUAUAGUUGGCUCCUAUAUUGAUACUAGAAAUAAAUCAAUAUGUCUUCUGCUAGUUCUACACCCUUUUGCAGUUAUAGUAGGUACACAAGAUCUUUUAAUUUUAUCUUUAGAUCUAUGUUUAUGAAUUAUGGCUGGUCAAGCCAGAAAUUUUUGUAAACCUGGAUCAAUGAAGAUAAAGUAAUACCAGUUAAUAAAUCUAUAAACUCUGCCAGAAUCCAUGAUCUUACAAGCAUAGUGCAUACAUGCAUGAUAUCAGAAAAAUUAGUAAGCACAAACAAUUAGGUUCAACAAUAUGUGAAGUUCCAUGCAUUUUUCAAGAAUCAUACUAAAUAGAGAUGUCAUGAACGGCAGUACUCAUUCUACAGAGGAUAAGAGUAUGUCCUAAUCUGACAUUGAAAUAUACAGAUAGAUACUACUACAAGCAGUUCAUCUAUAUAUUAGUUAAUUGCAUGCAGCUUUGUCUCAUAGAGUUAGGAUCAAUUUGCAGUUUGUCUGUAUUGUAGAAUGUAGAUUACAAGGUUUGAGAUGAGAAAAAGAAAACAAAAUAGAAGUCCUUGUUUUAUAGUCGUAUAUAUUUCACAUCGACAAAUUAUAAGAGAAUUCUUUGAUAAUAUACACAACAUAUUUAAAACAGAUUUUCAUACAUACAUGAUUUAAUUACAAGAAAAUCAUCAAAGCACACAGCAGAGAAAAACAAGGACAGGAAAAAAAAAAAAAGGUAACCAGGUGUCCGGUAAUGUGAUAUCAACAAGCUAAGCAGAGUACAAUGAAACUAGGCGUCGGACCAUGUGAUAUCUAAGCCACCCCAAUUGUCUUUAGACACACCCAAGGCUUUCCAUACAGCCUUGGAUGCAUCAACUAUGUUGUUAGGACAAGGAGGCUGGUAAUCAUGGUCUGCAUCACAACCUUCUGUAGAGUCACAUUCAUCCACCACCAUGGCCACCACACUCUGCCCGUUACCAUUAAUUCUGAUGUUCUUAAGGCACCUUGAUCCACUGUUGUACCAUCCGGUGGAUAAUGCCACAACUGGAGUGUUGUCAUUGUGGUACUUGCCGUCACAUUCUGAUGGACCUCCCCCGUCACCACCUGCCUCAAAGCUGUUGAGAGUGAGGUAUGCUUGGGUGUUGCCAGACAUUGGUGGUGAGCAAGUGUAUGUUGGGUACAUCUUUCCGGCCUUACAACAGUCUGAGUCAUCCUCCUGGUUACAUUGUCCAGGAGGAGGCUUCUUGCCUCUAAUUCUUCCGCUUGGACGGCAUUGCUGAGCAUCACUAACUAUGAAAAUUGUUAAGAGCAGAAUGACUUGAAAUUGACCUUUUUGAGAAAAAGCUCUUCAUUUUCUCUACUUCUCUCUGUCUUUCUUGUUAUGGUAUUAUGUGAGAUGAUUGGUGUGUAAAUGCAUUUUAGUUUGGCUAUUUAUGCAUCAGUUUCCCACCCAAAUUUCCUUCUGAUGUUUGUAGACUGACAAAAUUUCAUUCUCACAACUAAAGAGAGCAAAUUAUGUUCUGCGGCGACUUAGGUUUCCCAGUAAAUGACAAUCAAAGAUGCACCAUAUAGCUUCACUUUAAGGGUCCAAAUCAUGUCUUUCUAUGUGCAUAUCCAUGCCCUGAGUGCUUAUCUGUGCUGCUUUAAUCCUUACUUGUGUUGAUAGUCACCUUGUCAUGUUAACAUGCAUCCAAAUCAACAUUUCUUCCAAUAGCAAUCUAUGCAGAAACAAAAGUAUAGUCAUUCCAGGUUCAAGAAUAUUUAUUUAGAUGACAUAUAUAUCUUCGUAAGUCCUAGAUGUUCUAUUUCUCCUAAUUGCCUAAAAUGUUGGAUAUAACUAAUUUAAAAUACUAGUUAUUUAUCAUCUAUGUACUGGCUAUUAUGAAGUUGAAGUUGAAUGCAGACACCUUUUAUGCAAUUACAACGUAGCAGAUUAUUUUUCGAAAGUGAAUUUAUCUAACAGAGUUUUCUGUAAAGCAUUAAUACUUAAAACCAAACAAAGUGGGUCUUGCUACCACAAGUUGACAUAGGUUUGCUAACAAAGGAAAUUAUCAAUACAUCGUGUGUUUCAUCUAGAAUUGACUACUUAUUUUCUUAUUUACGAUGAGGAAACUUGAGUACGUUUGUUUCAUCUCAAGGUCAGAUGACAUCGCCUUCGACAUUCCCAUGGCCAAACCGUUUAAUUACAUAAAGCAUAAAAUUAUAAGACAACUCUAUUAUAAAAUAGGGACACCUUCUGAUGAAAAAUCAAACAAGAACAAUGUUCAUUUUGUAUGAUUGUUGAACAAUGUCUUGUUAGAUGCUUUCCACUGGAGAAUCAGUGCAGGAGAAUUGUCAUAAAGGAUCUGUUUGCUGUACUAAUUUUCAUACUGUAGUAGAAUCAGAAGGCCAGAACUGUUAUCAUGGUCCCUAAGUUACUAUGUACUGAUGUAAUGUUUCAUCACACGGGAAAUGAAUGUUGAAGAUGCACAUUAUGUAUGUAUAUAUGUAUUAACACUCAGAAUUAUAUCAAAGUUUUCUCUACAGCAUUAAUACUCACCAACGAAAGUGGGUAUUUCUACCAAAUAGGUGUUAAAACAGAAGAAAUAUUUGCAUCGUGUCAUUUAGAAUUGACUACUUGUUUUAUUAUUCUAGAUGAGGAAACUUGAGUUGUUUCAUCUCUUGGUCGACUUCGCCAUCAAUAUUCCCAUGGCCAACUUUUACCUUAUAUUAGCACCACAAUUAUAAUAUUCAAAUAAUAUAGGGGCAUCAGAUGAAAGACAAAACAAGAGAAAUGUAAAUUUAGUAUAAUUUUUUAAGGAUGUCUCGUUUUGAUGUUUUGCAGUGGAGAUGUGCAGCAGAAUUGUCAGAAAUGAUCUAUUUUCUUUCCUACUGAUGUAGUACUUAUCAGAACCGCAGAACCAUCAUCAUUGUCCCUAAGUCACUUACCAAGUACUGAAGUAAGCUUUCAUCCCCAGCUGAAGAAUUGAUGUAUAUAUGUAUUAGCAAUCAGUAUUUCCAAGCAAAAUAUCAUGCAUUUUAAGCCCCAGGCCAAGAGUCUCAUGACUUUGCAACUCUAAUAUGGGUUUAAUUAGAAAAAAACAAUAUUAAGAUUCUAAAGGAUCUUUGGAGUUAUCUAUCAUCGAUGGAAAUCUUUAGUAUGUUAGAUUCUCUUAUUAUGAAAUCUUCUAGUCAGUACCGAUCAACCAAACCAAACUUAGACAGCUGUGAUCAUUAACUACAGAAAUGACCCCUUGUAGAUGGUGAUAUAAUGAGCUGUAUGUUCAGACAAUCAGAUCGUAUGUAUAUGGAUUCUUACUACUCAAUUUGACAGUAUACUUAGAGCAAUAUUAUGGAGCGGUAUCUUUACAGGUUAGUCGAAUUACUCGAAUCAUUCUACAAGAAAUUAUAUACUACAAACAAGCUAGCUAGGGAAGCUAUGUCAAGCAUCCAUGAUCUCUAUAUAGUAUAUAUAGCCUACCUUAGGAUCCAACUUCUUCAACCCAACCAAAACCAAACCAGCAGCAAGUGUUAGAAGAAGAUGAAGUACCAUUUUUGUUCUUCAGGUGCUUUUCUCUUCGUCUUCCUCAUCCUUGUGACAAUCUGUUUGAGUAUUGAAGCUCAAACCUCCAAUCCAAGUCGCAAAAUAGUUAUUAAAAAGUCUCCUCUGGUGUCCAAGCAUACAAAAGCAACAUUGACAAUCAACAGCUUCGAGAAAGGUGGUGUUGGUGGCGGACCGUCUGAAUGUGAUGGUAAAUACCACUCCGAUAACACCAUGAUUGUGGCAUUGUCGACCAGUUGGUACAAUGGUGGGAAGAGGUGUUCAAACUACAUUACCAUAAAUGGUAAUGGAAGGAGUGUGAAAGCCAAGGUUGUCGAUGAGUGUGACUCAACAAGAGGAUGUGCUGAUGACAUUGUUGAUGGCUCUAGAGCUGUUUGGAAGGCCUUGGGAGUUAAGGAAAGCAGCAGGGAUUGGGGUGAAAUGAAGGUAUUCUGGUCUGACGCCUGAUCAAGUGACUGCCUCUAUAAUCUAUAGGAUAAUCUAUUUUGUGAUAAAAAUAAGAGAGAAUAAGGUUCAUAGAGUGACUUCCUCUCUAUUAUAUCCUCGAAAAUAAAGAGUGAAGAAGGUUCAUACUAAUAAAUAAGAGCAAUCUUUACUAAUGAUCAUAUGCUGAACUGCUGAUUAAUUUGCUGAUAUUGGAGGCCGUAAUCUAAUAAAACUAUGUGUAUGCUAAAUUAAGGACACACCAUCUUUUCGUUUAAUCUUCAGUUCUUUGUUCAUGAAUGGCUGGUAAAGCCGAAAACUGUUGUAAUGAUCACUGGACUAAUCAAUGAAGAUAUAGCAUACUUGAUGCAUAUAAACAAACAGUAAUUCUGAUGAUUUUACAAAUAUGGUGCAUGCAUGACAAUGGAAUAGACAUGCCAUAGGUGUAGACAAAUUGUUAGUAUAUAUAUUGACAAUUUGAAGUUUCAAGAAUUUCUGAAGUAUCAUUCUGCAAUUUUGCAUAUCCAAGAUUUUUUUGACCGUACGUGCUUAUAUUCUGAUGGAUUUUUCUUGUGUUCUAAUCAACUAAGAUCACUUAACACAGCACCAAAUAUAGACCCAAACAAUAAAAACUAAGGGGGAUGGUGAUACAAUCGACAGUCCUUAGCUGCUUAAUUAUUCUUGUUAUUGUCCUCAUUUCAGAUUAAUUUACAUACAUUCUUUAUUGAAGUUACUAACUUGCUAUUCAAUAAUGUGUACCUAUAUAUAACUGUUUUAUUACACCUAAUAACCUUAAUGUUGCAUAACAAAUAGAACUGCAAGAAAAACUAGACUCAUUCUACAGAGAAGAUUAUAACUUAUAAGCGUCAUAUGUAACUCGACAUAGAAACAAACAGUUACUUCAAGCAGUUCGAUCAUCUAUAUAUUAGUUAAUUGCAUGCAGCCUUUUUCUUUUGAAUCUUUUCUAUGAGAAUGAAUUGCAUGAACUUCUGUACCAUGCGGAGUUGCAGUUUGUCUGUAUUAUAGAUUACUGGGUCUGACAUGAGUAUUAGAAAAAUUUAUUAGAAGUCCUUUGUUGAUACUGGUAUAUAAUUUACAUAGACAAAGCACAAGAUAAUACUUCUAUGAUGUAGAUAACAUAUAUAUCGCAAGCUAGAUACACAACAAUGUAUUAAGCGUCAGACCAUGUGAUAUCUAAGCCACCCCAAUUGUCUUUCGACACACCCAAGGCUUCCCACACAGCCUUGGAGGCAUCCACAAUGUUGUUAGGACAAGGAGGUUGGUAAUCAUGGUCUGCAUCACAACCUUCUGUAGAGUCACACUCAUCCACCACCAUGGCCACCACACUCUGCCCGUUACCGUUAAUUCUGAUGUUCUUAAGGCACCUUGAUCCACCGUUGUACCAUCCGGUGGAUAAUGCCACAACUGGAUUGUUGUCAUUGUGGUACUGGCCAUCACAUUCAGAUGGGCCUCCGCCAUCACCUCCUGCCUCAAAGCUGUUGAGAGUGAGGUAGGCUUGGGUGUUUCCGGACGUAGGUGGGGAGCACGUGUAUGUUGGGUACAUUUUUCCGGCUUUACAGCAGUCAGAGUCAUCCUCCUGGUUACAUUGUCCAGGAGGAGGUUUCUUUCCUCUAAUUCUGCCGCUUGGACGGCAUUGCUGAGCUUCACUAACCAAGAACACUGUUAAGAGGAGAAUGGCUAGAAUAGGCCCUUUUGAGAAAAAACUUUUCAUUUUCUC
rnacentral:lncRNA from 1 species